GGGUUGUGAGGUUAAGCGACUAAGCGUACACGGUGGAUGCCCUGGCAGUCAGAGGCGAUGAAGGACGUGCUAAUCUGCGAUAAGCGUCGGUAAGGUGAUAUGAACCGUUAUAACCGGCGAUUUCCGAAUGGGGAAACCCAGUGUGUUUCGACACACUAUCAUUAACUGAAUCCAUAGGUUAAUGAGGCGAACCGGGGGAACUGAAACAUCUAAGUACCCCGAGGAAAAGAAAUCAACCGAGAUUCCCCCAGUAGCGGCGAGCGAACGGGGAGCAGCCCAGAGCCUGAAUCAGUGUGUGUGUUAGUGGAAGCGUCUGGAAAGGCGCGCGAUACAGGGUGACAGCCCCGUACACAAAAAUGCACAUACUGUGAGCUCGAUGAGUAGGGCGGGACACGUGGUAUCCUGUCUGAAUAUGGGGGGACCAUCCUCCAAGGCUAAAUACUCCUGACUGACCGAUAGUGAACCAGUACCGUGAGGGAAAGGCGAAAAGAACCCCGGCGAGGGGAGUGAAAAAGAACCUGAAACCGUGUACGUACAAGCAGUGGGAGCCUCUUUUAUGGGGUGACUGCGUACCUUUUGUAUAAUGGGUCAGCGACUUAUAUUCUGUAGCAAGGUUAACCGAAUAGGGGAGCCGAAGGGAAACCGAGUCUUAACCGGGCGUUAAGUUGCAGGGUAUAGACCCGAAACCCGGUGAUCUAGCCAUGGGCAGGUUGAAGGUUGGGUAACACUAACUGGAGGACCGAACCGACUAAUGUUGAAAAAUUAGCGGAUGACUUGUGGCUGGGGGUGAAAGGCCAAUCAAACCGGGAGAUAGCUGGUUCUCCCCGAAAGCUAUUUAGGUAGCGCCUCGUGAAUUCAUCUCCGGGGGUAGAGCACUGUUUCGGCAAGGGGGUCAUCCCGACUUACCAACCCGAUGCAAACUGCGAAUACCGGAGAAUGUUAUCACGGGAGACACACGGCGGGUGCUAACGUCCGUCGUGAAGAGGGAAACAACCCAGACCGCCAGCUAAGGUCCCAAAGUCAUGGUUAAGUGGGAAACGAUGUGGGAAGGCCCAGACAGCCAGGAUGUUGGCUUAGAAGCAGCCAUCAUUUAAAGAAAGCGUAAUAGCUCACUGGUCGAGUCGGCCUGCGCGGAAGAUGUAACGGGGCUAAACCAUGCACCGAAGCUGCGGCAGCGACACUGUGUGUUGUUGGGUAGGGGAGCGUUCUGUAAGCCUGUGAAGGUGUACUGUAAGGUAUGCUGGAGGUAUCAGAAGUGCGAAUGCUGACAUAAGUAACGAUAAAGCGGGUGAAAAGCCCGCUCGCCGGAAGACCAAGGGUUCCUGUCCAACGUUAAUCGGGGCAGGGUGAGUCGACCCCUAAGGCGAGGCCGAAAGGCGUAGUCGAUGGGAAACAGGUUAAUAUUCCUGUACUUGGUGUUACUGCGAAGGGGGGACGGAGAAGGCUAUGUUGGCCGGGCGACGGUUGUCCCGGUUUAAGCGUGUAGGCUGGUUUUCCAGGCAAAUCCGGAAAAUCAAGGCUGAGGCGUGAUGACGAGGCACUACGGUGCUGAAGCAACAAAUGCCCUGCUUCCAGGAAAAGCCUCUAAGCAUCAGGUAACAUCAAAUCGUACCCCAAACCGACACAGGUGGUCAGGUAGAGAAUACCAAGGCGCUUGAGAGAACUCGGGUGAAGGAACUAGGCAAAAUGGUGCCGUAACUUCGGGAGAAGGCACGCUGAUAUGUAGGUGAAGUCCCUCGCGGAUGGAGCUGAAAUCAGUCGAAGAUACCAGCUGGCUGCAACUGUUUAUUAAAAACACAGCACUGUGCAAACACGAAAGUGGACGUAUACGGUGUGACGCCUGCCCGGUGCCGGAAGGUUAAUUGAUGGGGUCAGCGCAAGCGAAGCUCUUGAUCGAAGCCCCGGUAAACGGCGGCCGUAACUAUAACGGUCCUAAGGUAGCGAAAUUCCUUGUCGGGUAAGUUCCGACCUGCACGAAUGGCGUAAUGAUGGCCAGGCUGUCUCCACCCGAGACUCAGUGAAAUUGAACUCGCUGUGAAGAUGCAGUGUACCCGCGGCAAGACGGAAAGACCCCGUGAACCUUUACUAUAGCUUGACACUGAACAUUGAGCCUUGAUGUGUAGGAUAGGUGGGAGGCUUUGAAGUGUGGACGCCAGUCUGCAUGGAGCCGACCUUGAAAUACCACCCUUUAAUGUUUGAUGUUCUAACGUGGACCCGUGAUCCGGGUUGCGGACAGUGUCUGGUGGGUAGUUUGACUGGGGCGGUCUCCUCCUAAAGAGUAACGGAGGAGCACGAAGGUUGGCUAAUCCUGGUCGGACAUCAGGAGGUUAGUGCAAUGGCAUAAGCCAGCUUGACUGCGAGCGUGACGGCGCGAGCAGGUGCGAAAGCAGGUCAUAGUGAUCCGGUGGUUCUGAAUGGAAGGGCCAUCGCUCAACGGAUAAAAGGUACUCCGGGGAUAACAGGCUGAUACCGCCCAAGAGUUCAUAUCGACGGCGGUGUUUGGCACCUCGAUGUCGGCUCAUCACAUCCUGGGGCUGAAGUAGGUCCCAAGGGUAUGGCUGUUCGCCAUUUAAAGUGGUACGCGAGCUGGGUUUAGAACGUCGUGAGACAGUUCGGUCCCUAUCUGCCGUGGGCGCUGGAGAACUGAGGGGGGCUGCUCCUAGUACGAGAGGACCGGAGUGGACGCAUCACUGGUGUUCGGGUUGUCAUGCCAAUGGCACUGCCCGGUAGCUAAAUGCGGAAGAGAUAAGUGCUGAAAGCAUCUAAGCACGAAACUUGCCCCGAGAUGAGUUCUCCCUGACCCUUUAAGGGUCCUGAAGGAACGUUGAAGACGACGACGUUGAUAGGCCGGGUGUGUAAGCGCAGCGAUGCGUUGAGCUAACCGGUACUAAUGAACCGUGAGGCUUAACCUUACAACGCCGAAGGUGUUU
rnacentral:rRNA from 3 species